GCAACAAUUCUUAGGGGUACUUUGGCAAAGGAAGUGAUAAGGCUAUAGCUUUCGUUUUUUACUUGUUUCAUUAUAUGCAAUAGUAUAUACCAAGACAUUAGACAAAACCAUGUCAGUAAUUAUUAUGUUCUAACAUUUAUUUAAAAAUAAUCACAAUGCAAUGAAACCCUACAGACGGAAAUCUCACAUGACAGAUUCAAAAGGAGUUUGCAGUUCAAAAGGACCCAUUCUGUGGAACCCAGAAGUCCAAAUUCUUCUGCAUCCCAGCUGGCAAAAAUGAUAGUUCUUCUAGGUCUCCAGCCUAUUAAGUUAUUCCUCACUGGUGGCAGCAAUGAUUGGCAAUUUGCCCUUAUGUCUUCUCAUUUGAUGAUAUUGGUAAAUGAAUUAAUGGAUUAUCAAGAUUUCUGUGAGGCAAAUCAAACUUCUUAAAGUUCAGAUCAUGCCAUGCUAUUCAACAACUCUGUACAAGCUGAUUUCUCUAGCUUGCAUUUCCUGCCUGCCUUGACCCAGUGGUACGUGAGAAAACAUAAAAACAUGAGUUUCUGUGUACCCAUGGCAAAUAGGAAAAAAAAGAAAAUAAAUACUUGAAAGCUAUUUUG